GAUGAGGAGUGUGAAGCAUGUCCACUCAAGGUAAAUGGUGAGACAACGGAAAUCAUUAAAAUGUAUUGAAAAUAUGAAUACCAUUUAAAAAACGAACAAUUCAAGUGUAAUCUUUGACUACGGAUGACAUAAGCAGUAUAGUGAAGUUUCUUAUUUUGCAUCAGAACAAGUGUGCUGUUGUUCAUUUUUUUAAAAGAAAAUUGAUAAGUAUUACCACAAUUAAUAGAUACCUGAAUGACUAAGAGAAGGGUCAAAUGAAUGAAUCCGUGAAAAAUAUUUCAAUCCUGUUACCUUCUCUGCUUUGCACUUCCCAGAAUGGACACACCUGGGCUGGCAGAACAUCUUGCCUUGAUCUGGAGCCCCAUGUCUGCCCCUCUGUAGAGGUGCACAUGGGCCAAUGAUGGAUGCAAUGAGCUGAUCAUUUUGCUGUGAUCAAGGCUAUGUUGCCUCUGUGUUAGGCCAAUAGUUGAUGUUCAUGGGUGAUUGAUCAUCCUGUAGCGACGGUGGUAUUGACUGUUCCCCAGAGGACAAGGAGUGUGUUCUUAUAAUGGACAUCAUGAUUGGGAUUGUCUUUAUUAAACUUUGUCAGGAGAGUAAAGAUCAAUGUGGCCACAUGUUGUGGCUCAUGCCUGUAAUCCCAACACUGUAAUCCCAGCACUGUAAUCCCAGGCUGUAAUCCCAGGCUGAGGUGGGCGGAUCACCUGAGGUUGGGAGUUCGAGACCAGCCUGACCAACAUGGAAAAACCCCGUCUCUACUAAAAAUACAAAAUUAGCCGGGCAUGGUGGCGCAUGUCCUUAAUUCCAGCUACUCAGGAGGCUGAGGCAGGAGAAAUGCUUGAACCCGAGAGGCGGAGGUUGCAGUGAGCUGAGAUUGUGCCAUUGCACUCCAGCCUGGGCAACAAGAGUGAAACUCCAUCUCAAAAG
rnacentral:lncRNA from 1 species